rnacentral:rRNA from 1 species
UACGAGAUGUAGAGAGGUCUCGUGGGCUCGGAGAUGUGUAUAAGAGACAGAUGAUAUGCUAAGUGGUAAACGAAGUGGGAAGGCCUAGACAGCCAGGAUGUUGGCUUAGAAGCAGCCAUCAUUUAAAGAAAGCGUAAUAGCUCACUGGUCGAGUCGUCCUGCGCGGAAGAUGUAACGGGGCUCAAGCAUAUAACCGAAGCUGCGGAUGCACAUUGUGCAUGGUAGGGGAGCGUUCUGUAGGCCUGCGAAGGUGGCUUGUAAAGGCCGCUGGAGGUAUCAGAAGUGCGAAUGCUGACAUGAGUAGCGAUAAAGGGAGUGAAAAGCUCCCUCGCCGUAAACCCAAGGUUUCCUACGCAACGUUCAUCGGCGUAGGGUGAGUCGGCCCCUAAGGCGAGGCAGAAAUGCGUAGUCGAUGGGAAACAGGUCAAUAUUCCUGUACCGAUUUUAGAUGCGAUGGGGGGACGGAGAAGGGUAGGUCAGCUAGCUGUUGGAAUAGCUAGUUUAAGCGUGUAGAGAGAUGAAUUAGGCAAAUCCGGUUCAUCAUAUCUCAAGGCGUGACGACGAGUGUCCACGGACACGAAGUGACUCAUCCCAUGCUCCCAGGAAAAGCCUCUAAGCUUCAGUCUAAAAUCGACCGUACCGCAAACCGACACAGGUGGGUAGGUAGAGAAUACCAAGGCGCUUGAGAGAACUCGGGUUAAGGAACUCGGCAAAUUGACACCGUAACUUCGGGAGAAGGUGUGCCCCUCCAGGUCAUGUCCCUCGCGGACGCAGCCCAGAGGGGUCGCAGAGAAUAGGUGGCUGCGACUGUUUAUUAAAAACACAGCACUGUGCCAACACGAAAGUGGACGUAUACGGUGUGACGCCUGCCCGGUGCUGGAAGAUUAAAUGAUGGGGUGCAAGCUCUUGAUUGAAGUCCCAGUAAACGGCGGCCGUAACUAUAACGGUCCUAAGGUAGCGAAAUUCCUUGUCGGGUAAGUUCCGACCUGCACGA